rnacentral:rRNA from 1 species
AUUGAACGCUGGCGGCAGGCUUAACACAUGCAAGUCGAGCGGGGUGAUGGUGCUUGCACUAUCACUUAGCGGCGGACGGGUGAGUAAUGCUUAGGAAUCUGCCUAUUAGUGGGGGACAACAUCUCGAAAGGGAUGCUAAUACCGCAUACGUCCUACGGGAGAAAGCAGGGGAUCACUUGUGACCUUGCGCUAAUAGAUGAGCCUAAGUCGGAUUAGCUAGUUGGUGGGGUAAAGGCCUACCAAGGCGACGAUCUGUAGCGGGUCUGAGAGGAUGAACCGCCACAGUGGGACUGAGACACGGCCCAGACUCGUACGGGAGGCAGCAGUGGGGAAUAUUGGACAAUGGGGGGAACCCUGAUCCAGCCAUGCCGCGUGUGUGAAGAAGGCCUUAUGGUUGUAAAGCACUUUAAGCGAGGAGGCGGCUACCUGGAUUAAUACUCUAGGAUAGUGGACGUUACUCGCAGAAUAAGCACCGGCUAACUCUGUGCCAGCCGCCGCCGUAACAC